rnacentral:rRNA from 1 species
UACGGGGGGGGCAAGCGUUGUUCGGAAUUACUGGGCGUAAAGAGCUCGUAGGCGGUUUGUUGCGUCGGCUGUGAAAUCCCGAGGCUCAACCUCGGGUCUGCAGUCGAUACGAGCAAACUAGAGUGUUGCAGGGGAGACUGGAAUUCCUGGUGUAGCGGUGAAAUGCGCAGAUAUCAGGAGGAACACCGGUGGCGAAGGCGGGUCUCUGGGCAACAACUGACGCUGAGGAGCGAAAGCGUGGGGAGCGAACAGG